UGUGAACUCGAAGAGUAGGGCGGGACACGUGGUAUCCUGUCUGAAUAUGGGGGGACCAUCCUCCAAGGCUAAAUACUCCUGACUGACCGAUAGUGAACCAGUACCGUGAGGGAAAGGCGAAAAGAACCCCGGCGAGGGGAGUGAAAAAGAACCUGAAACCGUGUACGUACAAGCAGUGGGAGCACCUUCGGGUGUGACUGCGUACCUUUUGUAUAAUGGGUCAGCGACUUAUAUUCUGUAGCAAGGUUAACCGUAUAGGGGAGCCGCAGGGAAACCGAGUCUUAACUGGGCGUUAAGUUGCAGGGUAUAGACCCGAAACCCGGUGAUCUAGCCAUGGGCAGGUUGAAGGUUGGGUAACACUAACUGGAGGACCGAACCGACUAAUGUUGAAAAAUUAGCGGAUGACUUGUGGCUGGGGGUGAAAGGCCAAUCAAACCGGGAGAUAGCUGGUUCUCCCCGAAAGCUAUUUAGGUAGCGCCUCGUGAACUCAUCUUCGGGGGUAGAGCACUGUUUCGGCUAGGGGGUCAUCCCGACUUACCAACCCGAUGCAAACUACGAAUACCGAAGAAUGUUAUCACGGGAGACACACGGCGGGUGCUAACGUCCGUCGUGAAGAGGGAAACAACCCAGACCGCCAGCUAAGGUCCCAAAGUCACAGUUAAGUGGGAAACGAUGUGGGAAGGCACAGACAGCCAGGAUGUUGGCUUAGAAGCAGCCAUCAUUUAAAGAAAGCGUAAUAGCUCACUGGUCGAGUCGGCCUGCGCGGAAGAUGUAACGGGGCUAAACUGUGCACCGAAGCUGCGGCAGCGACACUAUGUGUUGUUGGGUAGGGGAGCGUUCUGUAAGCCUGCGAAGGUGGCCUGUGAGGGUUGCUGGAGGUAUCAGAAGUGCGAAUGCUGACAUAAGUAACGAUAAUGCGGGUGAAAAGCCCGCACGCCGGAAGACCAAGGGUUCCUGUCCAACGUUAAUCGGGGCAGGGUGAGUCGACCCCUAAGGCGAGGCCGAAAGGCGUAGUCGAUGGGAAACAGGUUAAUAUUCCUGUACUUGGUGUUACUGCGAAGGGGGGACGGAGAAGGCUAUGUUAGCCGGGCGACGGUUGUCCCGGUUUAAGCAUGUAGGCGGAGGUUCCAGGUAAAUCCGGUACCUUUUUAACGCUGAGGUGUGAUGACGAGGCACUACGGUGCUGAAGUAACAAAUGCCCUGCUUCCAGGAAAAGCCUCUAAGCAUCAGGUAACAUUGAAUCGUACCCCAAACCGACACAGGUGGUCAGGUAGAGAAUACCAAGGCGCUUGAGAGAACUCGGGUGAAGGAACUAGGCAAAAUGGUGCCGUAACUUCGGGAGAAGGCACGCUGAUAUGUAGGUGAAGCCCCUGCGGGUGGAGCUGAAAUCAGUCGAAGAUACCAGCUGGCUGCAACUGUUUAUUAAAAACACAGCACUGUGCAAACACGAAAGUGGACGUAUACGGUGUGACGCCUGCCCGGUGCCGGAAGGUUAAUUGAUGGGGUUAUCCGUAAGGAGAAGCUCUUGAUCGAAGCCCCGGUAAACGGCGGCCGUAACUAUAACGGUCCUAAGGUAGCGAAAUUCCUUGUCGGGUAAGUUCCGACCUGCACGAAUGGCGUAAUGAUGGCCAGGCUGUCUCCACCCGAGACUCAGUGAAAUUGAACUCGCUGUGAAGAUGCAGUGUACCCGCGGCAAGACGGAAAGACCCCGUGAACCUUUACUAUAGCUUGACACUGAACAUUGAGCCUUGAUGUGUAGGAUAGGUGGGAGGCUUUGAAGCGUGGACGCCAGUCUGCGUGGAGCCAACCUUGAAAUACCACCCUU
rnacentral:rRNA from 1 species